CUCCUCAGCCCAAUAGCCCAUCAGCAGCCCAAAAUAACAAAACCCUAGAUCUCCGCCCCAGUGCUCUCGCACUCAGCAAUUCUCUCUCUCGGGCGGUGGUCACGGGGGCUAGGGAGGAACGGGCGGCGUGCGCGGGUCCGAGCGGCGGGCGAGGGGCGAUGGGCGGUGAUCAGUGGGAUUGACAAGGCAGGCAGGUGGUGGCACGCUGCCGACGGGAGGCUGGUGGGUGCGUGGCAGCCGGCAGGAGCGACGGGAGGUUGACGGGCGCGCGACGGCAGCCGACAGCCAGCGGGAGCGGCGGGAGGUUGGCGUGCGUGCGACGACAGGCGGCGGCCGGCGGGAAGCUAGCGGGCGCACAGCAGCCGGUGGGAGGCUAGCGGGCGCGCGGCGGCUACAGGUCAGCGGGUGCGCAGCGGUAGGUGGCGGACAGUGGGAUUGACGCGGAGAGUGCUUAGCGGAGCUAUGGAGGCACCGGCCAUCGGGCUUCCUUUCCCCUUUCUUGAUUUGAUUACCAAGAACAAGAAGAACUAGUUAGUUUUUUCUUUCAUUCCCUUUCUCACAAGUCACAAUACUUUUUGUUAGUAUUUGAUUACUAGUUAGAACUUGGUUUGAAUUGUAGAUGAAGUGAAAUAUAUCAAUUAAAUCUUUCUAACGAGUAUAAUCCUCAAAUGAGUCCAAUCCAACCUAAGUAAAUACAUAAACAUAUACUUUUAGCCUUCAAUUUGAGCCUUCUCAACUACUAAUUGUGUUUCCUUAAGCUACUUUCAUCUCAUAACCUUGUUUCUUGUUAUAGACAGAUUGAUCUAUCCAUUAGUUAAUUAUUCAGAUGAAUUGGUCUUAAUUUUGCCCACUGCAACCGCAACCAUGAGCCUUCUCGGCUAUUAAUGUCAUUAGAAUAUUCUAAUAUUUUUCUGUACCAUGGAUAGUUUUAAAUUGAUUUUACCAUAAUUGUAUAGUAUUUUGAUGCGUGGGGGCAUGGCAUGGGGUGGCUUGAAGAGAUCCUGGUUCCGCCACUGCACACAAUAUAUCCUCUUCAACCAUACGAUGCCGAAAACCUUAUGAUGCUGAAAACCUCGCCGCGCUAGUCUUCCGCCUCGCCACGCUGCUCUGCAUCUGGGUGCUCGGCUCUCGCCUCCCUAGCACCCCGCCUUCCUCGCCGACCCGGUCACGUCCGCCAUUGAAGGUCGUCGCCGCCGUUGCUG
rnacentral:lncRNA from 1 species